AUUGAACGCUGGCGGCAUGCCUUACACAUGCAAGUCGAACGGCAGCGCGGUUGUUUGCACCUGGUGGUGAGUGGCGGACGGGUGAGUAAUACAUUGGAACAUGUCCUGUCGGGGGGUAUAUCCCGGCGAAAGCCGGAUUAAUACCCCAUAUGAUCCACGGAUUAAAGCGGGGGCCUUUCGUGCCUCGCGCUGUUGGGUUGGCCGAUGGCUGAUUAGCUAGUUGGUGGGGUAAAGGACUACCAAGGCGACGAGCAGUAGAUGGUCUGAGAGGACGACCAGCCCCCCUGGGAGUGAGACACGGCCCGGACUAAUACGGGAGGGAGGAGUGGGGAAUUGUGGACAAUGGGAGAAAGGCAGGUCCAGCCAUGCCGGGUGUGUGAAGGAGGCAUUCGGGUUGGAAAGGAAUUUUGUUCGGAAAGAAAUACUUGGCUCUAAUACAGUGGGGGGUUGACGGUACCGGAAGAAUAAGCACCGGCUAACUACGUG
rnacentral:rRNA from 1 species